rnacentral:rRNA from 1 species
UACGUAGGGUGCGAGCGUUGUCCGGAAUUAUUGGGCGUAAAGAGCUCGUAGGCGGUCUGUCGCGUCGGCUGUGAAAACCCGGAGCUCAACUCCGGGCCUGCAGUCGAUACGGGCAGACUGGAGUUCGGCAGGGGAGACUGGAAUUCCUGGUGUAGCGGUGAAAUGCGCAGAUAUCAGGAGGAACACCGGUGGCGAAAGCGGCUCACUGGACCAUUACUGACGCUGAUGCACGAAAGCUAGGGGAGCAAACAGG